GUCACGCAUGGACAUGAGCCUUGCCCAUGUGACUCCAAAACUCUAUCUUGGAGUUGGACUUUGCAUAGGAGAGAGGAGAGGGACUCCACCAACAAAAAAAGUCUAUUUAAAUCCGUGGGAGACCUCUCCAUUUUGUCUUCAGCUGGCUAAAGAGAGAGCCUCUCCACCCCCAAGGAUACCUGAAAGAAACUGGAACAAAGGACAAUAACCACAGGGGGUGUGAGUGAUUGCUGGACCCGGUCUAGAAGGAGACUUGUCUGUAAAAAGGAAGCUUACUGUGUCCUCAGGAAGCCACUGCUCUCCAAGCACACAUACUGAAACACUGGUGUCAAUUAACAUAGCGGGGCAUAUUUGUUUCCCUAAUCUCUGGUUCCCCGCUGCCCCAGAGGGGACGAGCCCCUCCGGACGCCAAAGUGGGUGGAGCCAGUGGAGCUUGCACCCGCCCCCUCAGAGGUAAGGACGCAGGACAGGAAGUACAAAAGCCCAACCCCAGAGCUCACUAGAGGUCCCACCGCCGAAGAAGCCAGACGCCUGUGGCCUAGCUCCUGGUUGGGAGACUCCUGCAGUUUGCGGCCAACCUGCGGACCGGCCAGACACUGACCAGACCCCGGGGAAGCUGUUAAGCCUGCCUGUGGCAAGUUACCCAGAGGAGCUGCCAAGCCUACCGCUCAUCGGGUACCCAGAGGAGCCCAUGGUGCUGGAUUCCGUGGAAGACACCGUCCAGAUGCAGGGCCUGCUAUGUCCCUUGGAGUCUGGCUUUUCCGCUCUGCCCUGGUUUUGCUCCUGCUGGUGUCUUCCCCAAUCAUCACCUGCAUCCUGAAGAAAGGAGCCCCAACCCUCCCUGAGCCCCUGAGAACUAGCAAUGGCAGCAAGGGGCAGCCUGGAGAGGACCCAGCAACGGGAGAGGAGUCGGUUAUUGUCAAGGCUGUAUCCCCACUUUGAACUUUAGGGUACAAAAUGUGGGGGCCUGCAUGAAGACUUCUAAGCUUAAUUACCAGCUUAGUUCUGGUCCGCUACCACCAUUCUCAAAAACUAAUUCCCUUCCCUGGGUAGCCUUGAGAAACCUUUCACCAAUUCCCUGGUGAAUACAGAUCCAAACCCCUUGGAUCUUAAAACAAGGAGAAAUUAACCAUUUCCCUCCUUCCUCCCACCAACUCCUGGUGAAUACAGAUCCAACCCCCUUGGAUCUAAAAACAAGGAAAAAAUCAAUCAGGUUCUUAAAAAGAAGGCUUUUAAUUAAAGAAAAAGGUAAAAAUCAUCUCUGUAAAAUCAGUAUGGAAAUUAACCUUACAGGGUAAUCAAACUUAAAGAGCUCAAAGGACUCCCCUCUAGUUUUAGGUUCAAAGUACAGCAAACAAAGAUAAACACUCUAGUAAAAGGUACAUUUACAAGUUGAGAAAAUAAAGUAAAACUAAGAUGCCUUGCCUGGCUAUUUACUUACAAGUUUGAAAUAGGAGAGACUUGUUUAGAAAGAUGUGGAGAACCUGGAUUGAUGUCUGGUCCCUCUCAGUCCCAAGAGCGAACGAACCCCCAAACAAAGAGCACAAACAAAAGCCCUUCCCCCCACCCAAGAUUUGAAAGUAUCUUGUCCCCUUAUUGGUCCUUUGGGUCAGAUGCCAGACAGGUACCUGAGCUUCUUAACCCUUUACAGGGAAAAGGAUUUUGGAGUCUCUGGCCAGGAGGGAUUUUAUAGUACUGUACACAGGACAGCUGUUACACCCUUCCCUUUAUAGUUAUGACAGUUAUAUAUGCCAGUGAGUAACUGUCAUUUAUGGGUGGGUGGUUCUGCUCAGACAUUCAGCUGGGUAAUUCCAGCAGCAAUGUCUCUGGUCAGCCUGAAAGCAUAGGUCUGAGUCCAUGCCCCAGAGUCAAGGACACAAACAAACUUUGGACAUCUUUCAUUAUUUGUAUCCAGAAAAACGUUCCACUUCCUUGAAAUUGCAGGGGGGAAAUCCCACCUCUAACUGAUAAUUGGCCUCUAAAUUGUGAAAUCCCAGAAUCAUGUAGAACUACAAGGAUGGGCCAAAAUCAUCCUCAGAGUAGGAUACCGUUUGUGACCUAAAUCAUGGGUAGAUUGUCUAUCUGUGAGCAGGAGGAGAUUUCUCAUGAUCUAUCACUCAAAGGCAGCUUGAGCCAUUCACUUCAGACUUUGCAAAAUCCCUUAGAGGUGAAUCUGCACAUUGGCUGGACUCACUGAUUUUUCCAGGCAAAGCAAUGGGCUGAGGGCAUGAGAUGUACAGUUACAUGGAAGCAGGAUGCCUGGAUUGCAGCAUGGUUUAGCUGUGAGGAGGGGGUUUUGGAAUCUAAAACCAGACCUUAAAUCUCCCUUGGCCCAGAGCAGAGACCGGACAGCUUAAAAUCUGGCCUGUUUGAAUCUGGGUCUACUUUUGUGGCUCUGGCCUGUCGCUCUCCGAGAGCCACUGUCAAACUGUCCCACCUCUGGGAAUCAGAAAUGAUGCUUCCGAAGUCCCUGCUGUAGCUGUAGGAUUUGUCCAGUAUUUUCAGAGCUGAGAUUCCUCUGCCACCCAGAUGCCUCCCUGUGCCAUAGGGCAGAGUGUGCUCCGCAGCUGCUGAGAUGUCUGGGGGAAUUAUCGGAGGAAGCGGUUAGAGGGUGAGCAGAGCUCUGUGCCUCUGCGGAGGAUUGCCAGGAGGAUUAUCACUGUAAUGAUUUAGUUCAUUCCAUGGUGUCCUUGGCUCAGCUCCAUUUCUUUCUCAGUCUCUAUCCUCACCCCUCCCUUUCACAGUGUUUCAUUCACAGAUGUCCCAAGUCUUUUGGGCAUCCAGCGACCUCAGCGAGAGAUGUACUGACUAGGAGGACGCCAGCAACACUGGGCUGCGGGGGAGGCUGGCCUGGAUUGGGAAGAUGGCAGCUUCACCUCCUAGUUCCAAACAUUCCACCCACCCUGGGCUCUUGCACUAGUGCGUGCGAGGGGCACAUCCCACAUUGCUGCUUCUACCCCCAGCAAGGGGAGGGCCAUGCUUGCAGCAUAUGUCCUGACAGGCCUUUAAUGGCAGGGCACGUUCUGAACAGGACAACGAGCUCAUUGUUAAUAAAUGCAGGAAACACCUGGAACAGCA